rnacentral:rRNA from 1 species
GAAGGAUCGCAUUAUGAUCUUUUUUAAGAUCGGCGAUAGAUCAUUCAAGUUUCUGACCUAUCAGCUUUCGACGGUACUGUAUUGGACUACCGUGGCAGUGACGGGUAACGGGGAAUUAGGGUUCGAUUCCGGAGAGGGAGCCUGAGAAACGGCUACCACAUCUAAAGAAGGCAGCAGGCGCGCAAAUUACUCCAAUCCUGACUCAGGGAGGUAGUGACAAGAAAUAACAACACUGGAAAUUUUAUUUCUAGUGAUUGGAAUGAUGGGAAUUUAAACCCCUUUCAGAGUAACAAUUGGAGGGCAAGUCUGGUGCCAGCAGCCGCGGUAAUUCCAGCUCCAAUAGCGUAUAUUAAAGUUGUUGCAGUUAAAAAGCUCGUAGUUGGAUAUCUGCUGGAAGCAGCCAGUCCGCUCUUUUUAUGGGGUGUGCACUUGGUGAGUUCUGGCAUCCUCCUGAUUAGUUCUAUGUAAUUAUCACUUAAUUGUGUUAAUUGCAGCUAUAUCAGGACUGUUACUUUGAGAAAAUUAGAGUGUUUCAAGCAGGCUUAUUGCCUUGAAUACUGCAGCAUGGAAUAACAAGAUAGGAUUUCGGUUCUAUUUUGUUGGUUUCUAGGACUGAAGUAAUGAUUAAUAGGGACAGUUGGGGGCAUUCGUAUUUAACUGUCAGAGGUGAAAUUCUUAGAUUUGUUAAAGACGAACUACUGCGAAAGCAUUUGCCAAAGAUGUUUUCAUUAAUCAAGAACGAAAGUUAGGGGCUCGAAGACGAUCAGAUACCGUCGUAGUCUUAACCAUAAACUAUGCCGACUAGAGACAGGAAAACGUCAUCCUUGACU